rnacentral:rRNA from 1 species
AAUUAAAUUUAUAUUUAUAAAAUUAAUAUAUUUAAUUUAAAAUUAUUAGGUGAAAUUUUAAUUUUAAUGGUUUUAUAUAAUUUAUUAAUUGAUUUUUAUGAAAUUUUUAUUUUAAACUAGGAUUAGAUACCCUAUUAUUAAAAAUGUAAAAUAUAAAAUCUAGAAUAGUAUUAGUUAUGAUCUUGAAAUUUAAAAAAUUUGGCGGUAUUUUAGUCUAUUCAGAGGAACUUGUUCUAUAAUUGAUAAUCCCCGAUGGACCUCACUUAAUUUUAUUAAAUUUGUAUAUCGCCGUCAUCAGAAUAUCUUAAAAAAGUAAAAAUUUUCUAAAAUUAAAAUUUUAAAUUAUGUCAGGUCAAGGUGCAGUUUAUAAUUAAGUAGAAAUGAGUUACAAUAAAUUUAUUUCUUGGAUAAAAAAUUGAAAUAUUUUUUUGAAAUUGGAUUUGAUAGUAAAAUAAUAAAGAUAAAUUAUUUGAUUUUAGCUCUAAAAUAUGUACAUAUCGCCCGUCGCUCUCGUUAUUAAAAUGAGAUAAGUCGUAACAUAGUAGACGUAUCGGAAGAUGUGUCUAGAAUGAC